AUGAACUUGUAGUGCUUGGCUGUGUCACUACUCCAGCAUCAUCUCUGAUCUCUUCUCUGUCAAUGCUAUUUAAAGAGAAAAUGUAACAGUAACCUUCUGGUGAUGCUGGAGAAAAUAGAUUUCACUAAUUCUCGACUUCAGUGCAAGCUCUUCAAUCCCAUGAACUUCAGUUACUUCUAUUGUGUCAGGUUAUAAAAUGGAGCUUUUUUUUUUUAGUAUUUUUGAAUUGUGUGGAGAGGAAAAGAAACCACAAAGAAAACCACCAACCCCAAAUGAACACACAGAAGCCUGGUUUUCAGAAGCAUUGACUUUUUCAGCCUCCAUAGAGUGUGAAGUUGCAUGCAUUUUGGAGGCAGCCUCUUGUGAGGCCUGUGGAAUGGGUGAAUUGUCUAAGUAUCUGUGUAUUCAUCACGAUGUCAGAAUGACAAACAAGCUCAUCCAAAUGACUGUUCUACCUGAUGCAGCCAUAGCUAAGUUUUGAAAUACCUGACAUUUGUGAUUCUAUGGGGACCAUCUUGCUAAGGUUGAAUAUAAUUUACAAUGUACUCUCCAAAUCCCAGUGCAGCUCAUUUUAUACUUUGAGGAAUCUUAAGUAAAUUUAGUGCAAGUUGAUUGCAUCUGCUUGGCGGAAGAGCUGGCUUAACACUUGUGCCCACAGAUGGGGCCAGUGAGAUGCAUGACUGUUCUGUGUGCUCCUUGUUUAGUAACUUACAGCAGAGAAACAGAGCACGUGGUAUCUCAGACUCGUCAUUCUGGGCCUAGAGUUCAGUACAGUUUCAUUGACCAUGGCAUACAACUUCAACUGUGCUUUUGCAUAAUUAAGAGACUCUUCUUAAGGCAACUAUUUUUUAAAUGUAUAUGUACAUUCAUGAAGGAUGAGAAUAAAAAUCUUUAGAAAUGGAGGAACA
rnacentral:lncRNA from 1 species